ensembl:lncRNA
UCCCCUUUUUACCCCGUUGUUUACCCGCUGCACGCCGCCGCCUGCUGGGGACAGGUCUGGGAGUGCCCCAAAUACAGCCCAAAUAUACCCAAAAUACAGCCCAAAAUUCACACAAACACAGCCCAAAUACAGCCCAAAUACACCCAAAAUACAGCCCAAAUACAGCCCAAAUACAGCCCAAAUACAGCCCAAAUACAGCCCAAAAUACACCCAAAAUACACCCCAAAUACACCCCAAAUACACCCCAAAUACAGCCCAAAUACAGCCCAAAAUACAGCCCAAAAUACACCCAAAAUACACCCCAAAAUUCACACAAAUACAGCCCAAAAUACACCCAAAACACCCCAAAACCACACCCCGAAAUUCCCCUUUUUACCCCGUUGUUUACCCGCUGCACGCCGCCGCCUGCUGGGGACAGGUCUGGGAGUGCCCCAAAACGCCCCAAAACCACCCAAAAUACAGCCAAAAAUACACCCAAGUACACCCCAAAAUACACCCAAAAUACCGCCCAAAAUUCACACAAACACAGCCCAAAUACAGCCCAAAUACAGCCCAAAUACAGCCAAAAUACAGCCCAAAUACAGCCCAAAUACAGCCCAAAUACAGCCCAAAUACAGCCCAAAUACAGCCCAAAUACACCCAAAUACAGCCCAAAUACAGCCCAAAUACAGCCCAAAAUACAGCCCAAAUACAGCCCAAAUACACCCCAAAUACAGCCCAAAUACACCCAAAUACACCCAAAUACAGCCCAAAAUUCACAUAAAAUUCACCCAAAAUUCACCCCAAAAUACAGCCCAAAUACACCCAAAAUACACCCAAAAAACAUCCCAAAAUAUACCCAAAAUUCACCCAAAAUACACCCAAACACACCCUGAAAACACCCAAAAUACACCCAAAAUGCACCCAAAAUACACCCAAAAUUCACCCAAAAUAGACCCUGAAAACACCCAAAAUACACUCAAAAUACACCCCAAAACACACACAAAAUUUUGGGGUUUUUUUUCCCCACUUUUCCCCACUUUUCCCCAUUUUUCCCCUUUUUUUUUGUUUUUUUCCCCAUUUCCCCCUGUUUUUCACCGUUUCUCCCCGUUUUCCCCCGUUUCUCCCCAUUUUUCCCCUUUUUUUUGUGUUUUUUCCCCAUUUUUUUGUUUUUUCCCCAUUUCUCCCCGUUUUUCCCCGUUUCUCCCCAUUUUUCCCCGUUUCUCCCCGUUUUCCCCCGUUUCCCCCCAUUUUUCCCCAUUUCCCCCCGUUUUUCACCGUUUCUCCCCAUUUUUUUUGGUGUUUUCCCCCCGUUUUUUUGUGUUUCCCCCCGUUUUUCCCCAAUUCCCCCUGUUUUUUCCCCGUUUCCCCCCGUUUUUCACCGUUUCUCCCCUUUUUUUUGUGUUUUUCCGCAUUUUUCACCGUUUCUCCCCGUUUUUCACUGUUUUCUCCCCAUUUUUCACCGUUUCCCCCCGUUUUUCCCCAUUUUUAUGUGUUUCUCCUGUUUUUCCCCAUUUCCCCCCGUUUUUCCCCGUUUCCCCCCGUUUUUUUUGUGUUUCCCCCCAUUUUUCUGUGUUUCCCCCCGUUUUUCCCCAUUUCCCCGUUUUUUCCCAUUUCCCCGUUUUUUCCCCGUUUCCCCGUUUUUUUUGUGU